UGUAAGGAAUGUCAGAAAAAUAAAUUCCCGCGCAAGUGAUACACAAUCUAAUAUAUUAAAUUUGGUUGGGUCGACUCAUGUUUUUUUAUGGACGCUCUUCUCGGUUAUUUAAGUCGUUGCUCACGACUUCAUGUUCGCUAAACUUCACUCGCUCAGAUUUCAGAGCACCUAGUGUGACAAGAUUUAAUUCUCGAAGCUGGUCUGAAAAUUAACAAAGGCCUACACAUGGGUAACGACGAAAAGAAGAAGGGACUUGAUGUAAAAGAAGUUCAUCUAAGACUCCUGGAUGAUCUUGUCAACGUGAAUUCACUACUGACUGUGGCUGUAUUUGUGGGCUUAUCCUUGGCUACGCCAGACAUUAAAAGCCUCGAUUCGAGACACGAGUGUCGCGCAGGUCCUAGAGAAGCCAAAAAGCUGAUUCUCUGUGAAGUUGUAGCAUUUUCUUGCUUCAUCUUGUCAAGCAUUGUUGCCAAGGUACUUAAGCUUCAUCUCUACCUUGAUGGAAAUGGUAAUUAUGCCUUCACGAGUCCUGAUUUAGAUUUGAAGGACUUCAUGUUAGCGUUAUCUGCGUGCGGCUCAGUUGCUGGGAUUGUUUCGGUGUCUGUUUCGAUUGUGUACAUAAUUGAAAUUCGAGUCGGGUUGCUAUCAUGCGGGUGCGAAGAAUCCACUGCUGCCGUGGUGGUUCUUGGCGUCCUUGUUGGGUUUGCUUUGCUCAUUUAUGUUGUUUCGGUGGCUAUAGCUAUUUAUGCUUCUUAUAAAAGUGAUCAUCAUAAGUCCGAAAGUGGAGAAAAUAAAAACGGCCUUAAGUACCCAAGUACAUGAGGCCUGACUCCUGAGGCUGUAGAAUCAAUGGUCUAAAAGUUAAGAUGUAUGUAUUUCAUGUACACAUAAUUAAGUGUGCUUCAACGACUUGACGAAGCAAGUUUAGCUAAUGAAAUUUUUAACUGAGCAAUUUCAUA